GUCGGCUUCGCGUGCAUCACCGGAAGUAGAGGUUUGAAAAAUUCGUUUAGGACGGGAGAUUUUUGUAUGGAUUCUUUGCCUUCGGCGACGUUGUUCAUUUGGAUCGGAAGUAACGACGGGAGCUGGCUCGCUGCGAAGGUUUUUGUGUCCACUAUCAUGCAAAGUUGAUUUUCCCUUAAACUGUUAAAAAAAUCCUUGAAGCUCUCGUUAGAUCAGUACUUUGAAUGAUCAUAGUGCCUACUUGAAGUAGAUGAAAGGAAAGUUGGUGGCUUUGACCUUCGCCGAAAGAUGCAAGAAUAUAUUGGCAGCCAACUGUCAAGCUUAUCUAAAUACAAUUAAAGCUGAUGCCAAGGGAAGCAAGGAUGACAUCCAUACCUCAAGGAUACAUUACAUGUUGAAGAAGGGAAAGCCAUACAUCUGGGUCAAAGAAGGAGACUUGCAUAAUGUGAAUGUGAUCAUUGAUGAGCGUGGUUCACUUGCAGUGAGUGCUGUUGUUCCCGGCUCCAUUAUGAGACUGCUCAGAUCAAUGGGAAAGGCACCAGCUCGGGUAGCCCUUGCAGGUGAUGUCAUCCCUCUGAAAGAUAACAAAGUUCAGGCCUUAAGUGAAGGGCUCCUACAGCAUUUGGAGAAAGUAGAAAACUAUGCCAGCCAUUCUAGUUAUGCAGUUUCUGCUCUACUAAGUUCUGCUAGCAUAAAUUGCAAAUCAAGAAUGGAAACCUUCCAGGAAAUACUCGAUCAAAAUAGUAACUAUGUUGCCCACAAGUUUAACAUCAGUUCUUGCAGUUAUGUUGAUGGCAGUGGAAACAUUCAUGAUGCGGAAGUGGGUGAAGUUCAAGCACCUAAAGCAGACCUCUUGUUUCCAUUUGCUGAAAAGCUGAUUGAUGGGAUAAACCAAAGUCAGCCAAGGCGUCGAGCAUUGAUGCUUUUCUGUUUGGAAUACUACAAUGCACAUGCACGAGAUGCAUUGAUGUUAUCAAUUGAUCAAUAUGGGUUCGAUGUCCUUGCUAAGGUCUCCCAAUCUAUGACAAGCAACAUCCAGAACCUGGAGUAUGUUUGGAAGGAGUUCAGGUUCUCAUUCAAAGAAGAGGCAAGUGAUCUCGAAACUUUUUGUAAUUUACUUAUUGGUUUGGAAGAAGAGGUUCUUCAGAGUGUUCGAAGCUACAGCGGUCUUCAUUAAUAUCCUGCUUAGGUAGCACCUAGGAUUUCAUUUAAGCACGAUUUUGUAAAUCCUCUAAAUCUGGAUUUACGAAAUUCUAGGAGGGUUAAAUUCUAAAAACUGUUUGAUAACAUUUAUGAUAAAUACUGUGUGACUGUGUUGACUGUGUUGACUAUUCAAUUCAGAAUUUAAAGCGGUUAAGAGAUUUGA